rnacentral:rRNA from 1 species
CCUACGGGAGGCAGCAGUGAGGAAUAUUGGGCAAUGGACGAGAGCCUGAACCAGCCAAGCAGCGUGAAGGAUGACUGCCCUAUGGGUUGUAAACUUCUUUUAUAAAGGAAUAAAACGAGGCACGUGUGCCCUUUUGCAUGUACUCUAUGAAUAAGCAUCGGCUAACUCCGUGCCAGCAGCCGCGGUAAUACGGAGGAUCCGAGCGUUAUCCGGAUUUAUUGGGUUUAAAGGGAGCGUAGAUGGGUUGUUAAGUCAGUUGUGAAAGUUUGCGGCUCAACCGUAAAAUUGCAAUUGAUACUGGCAGGCUAGAGUACAGUAGAGGUAAGCGGAAUUCGUGGUGUAGCGGUGAAAUGCUUAGAUAUCACGAAGAACCCCGAUUGCGAAGGCAGCUUGCUAGACUGUAACUGACGUUGAUGCUCGAAAGUGUGGGUAUCAAACAGGAUUAGAUACCCGGGUAGUC